GCAGGAGGGACGCGCGCGGCUGAGGCGAGGUGGCUCAGCGCAGCUGUUGCGGGGCCAUGGCGGGGACGGCGCUCAAGAGGCUGAUGGCCGAGUACAAACAAUUAACACUGAAUCCUCCGGAAGGAAUUGUAGCAGGCCCCAUGAAUGAAGAGAAUUUUUUUGAAUGGGAGGCAUUGAUCAUGGGCCCAGAAGACACCUGCUUUGAGUUUGGUGUUUUUCCUGCCAUCCUGAGUUUCCCACUUGAUUACCCGUUAAGUCCCCCAAAGAUGAGAUUUACCUGUGAGAUGUUUCAUCCCAACAUAUCACCCUAUGGGACCAACUCCUGGAGAAGGCAACACAGAAGUGGGAAACUUCCUGAUUUUGUGGAUGUGGAUCUUAGGUGGACAGCCUGAUGUCCAGGGCAAGUAUGCAUCUAGUUUCUUACACUCUGCUUGAAUGAGAAGUUGUGGUUCAGUUCCUGGAUAGUAGAGUGUUCACCACUGAACGUCCACCACUGAAACAGUGGAUGAGUGGAAACACAUAGGACCGGGUAUGAAAGACAAGACUGUUUGAAGGUAAAUGAUCACCAUUAACAUUUGUAAAUGUUCAUG
rnacentral:sRNA from 1 species